rnacentral:rRNA from 1 species
CACGUAGGCACCAAGCGUUGUCCGGAUUUAUUGGGCGUAAAGAGCUCGUAGGCGGUCCGUCGCGUCGGGAGUGAAAACUCGGAGCUUAACUCCGAGCCUGCUUCCGAUACGGGCAGACUAGAGGUAGGCAGGGGAGAGCGGAACUCCUGGUGUAGCGGUGGAAUGCGCAGAUAUCAGGAAGAACACCGGUGGCGAAGGCGGGUCUCUGGGCCGAUACUGACGCUGAGGAGCGAAAGCGUGGGGAGCGAACAGG